GGUUCGUUUGGACGCCUGUUAAACGAUGAUCAUCUCCAUCCAAAUUGUAAGCCAAAAGUCAUUGAGAUAGAUGAGAAGCCAGUUAUUUGCUUUUACUCUCUAAAACCAAUACCUCCAGAUACAGAACUGUUGUGUGAUUAUGGGCCUGGUAACAUGUAUCCUUGGAGAAGAAAGAGGAAGUAAAGGGUAUUGAUGCCAGUUCUUGUGUGGAUGAUGAGGAUCAGAGUGAGGAGGAAAUAGAUGACAGUCAAGACAACCAGAAUUUCCAAACUGUGACUCCAGGGAAGAGGGAGGCAGUAUCUGAUAGCGGAUGCUCCAGAGAAAUGGAUGAGUCUUCAUCCAAGCGACAGAAGUUACAGAAAAGCCAUGGACUUCAUCUGAAAUGAACUCCAUUCACAAACAUUUUUCACACUUUAUUACCAUGUUGAAGGUACCUGGGAAAAAUGAUGUAACACAUGUUUUGAAAAAAAGAUAAAAACCUUUCAAAAAGAAUUUGGAGAAAUGUAAGAGACCAAGUCUACAAUCUAAUAAAAAAAACAGAGAAAAUGUUGAUUUCGAUACUACUUUGAUUGUUCACUAGAAUUGAUGGUAUAUGUAUGAAAAAUGAUAUUUUUGUUUACAGUUCUUACAAAUUACAUAAAUUGUACAUAAAAGAAUUUGUUGAAUCAUUAUCAAAAUAGAUUUUGACAAAUUUCAGCUUUUUAGCUCAUCUGAGUCAAAGGCUCAAGUGAGCCUUUCUGAUAAAAAUGUGUCUGUUUUCUGUCGUUGUUGUGACCGGAAGGUCGGAUGUUUGAAUUCCUGCUGCGACUUGACCUGAGUCAAUAAGAAAUAGGUAGCAACUGUUCCAUGGCCAAGCGCUCAGCACAUUGAAAUAAAAGUUUCGGGUCUUUCAGAUGAGACCUUAAAAACUGAGGUUCCGUGUCAUGGCAGGUGUUGGCAUGAUAAAGAUCCCUCACUGCUCGAUGGCCCUAAGUUCCGAGUAAAGGUCUAAAUUUGAAGCCCUUCACUGGUAUAUGGUGAGGUCUCUGUAUGACUGAAAAAUCUCAUACGGGAUGUAA